CGGGUUGUCAUGCCAAUGGCACUGCCCGGUAGCUAAAUGCGGAAGAGAUAAGUGCUGAAAGCAUCUAAGCACGAAACUUGCCCCGAGAUGAGUUCUCCCUGACUCCUUGAGAGUCCUGAAGGAACGUUGAAGACGACGACGUUGAUAGGCCGGGUGUGUAAGCGCAGCGAUGCGUUGAGCUAACCGGUACUAAUGAACCGUGAGGCUUAACCUUACAACGCCGAAGAUGUUUUG
rnacentral:rRNA from 1 species